ACUUAGUUACGACUUCAUUCCCAGUGAGAAUUUCUACCGUGGGAUGGCAACGUCUAUGAAAAGUUAGCAUUAUUUCUGGUAAAACUCCACUCCCAUGGUGAGCGGCGCAGACCACCCGGGAACGCAUUCUCAUCGGGUGACAUGUGCUGACUAGUGACACACUAUGACAUCUCCGAUGCAUGCCGAGUUGCAGACUGCGAUCCGGAAUUACGAUCGGGCUUGGGACACCCUUCGCGGGUUGGCGACUCUGUCCCGACCAUUGUAUGACGUGUGAAAUUUACCAUAGUGGGGCCAUGAGGACUUGACGCUUCCUCCGGUUUGUCAUCGGUAUCCAUUGAGUGUUCUUCGUAGUAAUCUACGACAGUAGUUCAGGACGAUUCUCUUCAACAUUUCACGAUCAUCUGGAGCCGACGACAGCCAUGCAGCAGUUUCAGGGCCCGCUCCCCGCGAGCACUCCUUAAAUCUCUUUCGAUUCCAGACAUGUCAUGCAGGUAAGGCUUCCUUUCGCGUUGCAUCGAAUUAAUCCACAUCAUCCACCGCUUGUGCGGGUCCUCGUCAUUCCUUUUCGGAGUUUUAAUCUGCGACCGUACUCCCUAGCGGCCAAAUCCUACGCGUUAGCCGCGCUACCGCCCGAAGGCCUCAACAGCUAGUUGACGUUUAGGCGGACUACCAGGUAUCUAAUCCUGUUUGCUCCCACGCUUUCGCAUGAGCGUCAGUGUUAUCCCAGGAGGUUGCUCGCCACUGCGUUCCUCCGCAUAUCUACGCAUUUUUAACUACCGAGGCUAGAGUGUCAGAGGGAGGUGGAAUCUCCGCGUGUAGCAGUGAAACGCGUAGAUAUGCGGAUACCCACUGAUGGCGAAGGAGCCUCCUGGGAUAACACUGACGCUCAUGCACGAAAGCGUGGGAGCAAACAGGAUUAGAUAAUUUCUGGUAGUCCACGCCCUAAACGAUGUCAACUAGCUGUUGGGGCCUUCGGGCCUUGGUAGCGCAGCUAACGCGUGAAGUUGACCGCCUGGGGAGUACGGUCGCAAAGAUUAAAACUCAAAGGAAUUGACGGGGACCUGCACAAGCGGUGGAUGAUGUGAUUAACGGACGCAACGCGAAAAACCUACCUACCCUGACAUGUCUGGAAUCCCGAAGAGAUUUGGGAGUGUCGCAAGAGAAUCGAACACAGGUGCUGCAUGGCUGUCGUCAGCUCGUGUCGUGAGAUGUUGGGCGUUGAGUCCCGCAACGAGCGUGCAACCCUUGUCAAUAGUUGCCACAAAGGGCACUCUAAUGAGACUGCCGGUGACAAACCGGAGGAAGGUGGGGAUGACGUCAAGUCCUCAUGGCCCUGGCGUAGGGACACAUCGCCAUAAGGUCGGUCGGGACAGAGGGUCGCCAACCCGCGAGGGGGAGCCAAUCCCAGAAACCCGAUCGUAGUCCGGAUCGCAGUCUGCAACUCGACCGCGUGAAGUCGGAAUCGCGCAGUAAUCGCGGAUCAGCAUGUCGCGGUACGUUCCGGUCUUGCACACACCGCCCGUCACACCAUGGGAGUGGGUUUUACCAGAAGUAGUUAGCCUAACCGUAAGGAGGGCGAUUACCACGGUAGGAUUCAUGACUGGGGUGAAGUCAACAAGGUA
rnacentral:misc_RNA from 1 species